AGCAGUCGCCGCGGGAAUACGUAGGGUACGAGCGUUAAUCGGAAUUACUGGGCGUAAAGCGUGCGCAGGCGGUUGUGUAAGACAGGUGUGAAAUCCCCGGGCUUAACCUGGGAACUGCGCUUGUGACUGCACAGCUAGAGUAUGGCAGAGGGGGGUGGAAUUCCACGUGUAGCAGUGAAAUGCGUAGAGAUGUGGAGGAACACCGAUGGCGAAGGCAGCCCCCUGGGCCAAUACUGACGCUCAUGCACGAAAGCGUGGGGAGCAAACAGGAUUAGAUACCCGAGUAGUCCCUGUCUCUUAUAC
rnacentral:rRNA from 1 species